AUCACUAGAACUGCCAUGCAACUUUUCCAUCUUCUCCAACAAAAACAAAUUUGUAUAACCAAUCUGCUAUAGAUAACCAUUUAUAAUUUCAAUGGCAUUCUCAAGGCCAAGCUAUAAUGGUUUACCAGAACUGCUGUAACGGUAGGUCAAAACAAGAGUCAGGAUACUCUGUACAGGAUCUCAUAUUAGUUAUAGAUUACAGGACAAACAAGCGGGAUUUAUUUCUAGUGGGUUGUAUUUAGUAUCUUCAAACUGGCAUUUAACUAGACAUUCCCACAUACGGAACUCUCUCUAUAUAGCGUAAUGCUUGUUUAUGCCAUAAACAGUAGAUUUGUACCCAGUAAAACAAAAUUAUGCAAUAAGAAUUGUGGAGCCUAUAUACUGGAUCCCAGAUGGGGGAGGCUGUGAACUAUAAUAACACAUGGACAUUACUGAUUACAGGAUCCAUAUUUAUUAUGUUGUAUAUGGUUUUCUCGAUGAGAAUUCCCUAUGGUUAUUACUUAGCUACAGAGAAGAUUACUGAUACAGGAGAGGUUGCAAAAAAAGGAGCAAUUUUUAGUGCCUGUUGUAACUGGCUACUUGGGAAUAAACAAUCAAUUGAUGGAGUACAUGUCUGCUGCUGUCAUUGCUAGAGCUACAGGAAAGACACUCUGCCUUCCACUAUUAUUCAGAGGCCCUUUAAAACAUCAAGGAAGACUUUUCAGAAGACACAAUGAAUGAGGUCACAAUUCCUCUAGAGCAUAGGAGCUCUCUAAGUUUGUGAGAGUAUCUUCGAUGACCCGAUGUACCAAUGCCUGUGGAAAUAAGGUGGACAUCUUUUAGAAACUGAGAGCUGAAAACAAAAAUUAACUGCGAGUCAUCUUCCACCUAUGCAUCUUGUCACUUUUGUCAGAAAACUGUAAACUUUGGUCUAU